rnacentral:rRNA from 1 species
GAAGCGGGGGAUAACACCUGGAAACAGAUGCUAAUACCGCAUAACAACUUGGACCGCAUGGUCCGAGCUUGAAAGAUGGCUUCGGCUAUCACUUUUGGAUGGUCCCGCGGCGUAUUAGCUAGAUGGUGGGGUAACGGCUCACCAUGGCAAUGAUACGUAGCCGACCUGAGAGGGUAAUCGGCCACAUUGGGACUGAGACACGGCCCAAACUCCUACGGGAGGCAGCAGUAGGGAAUCUUCCACAAUGGACGAAAGUCUGAUGGAGCAACGCCGCGUGAGUGAAGAAGGGUUUCGGCUCGUAAAACUCUGUUGUUAAAGAAGAACAUAUCUGAGAGUAACUGUUCAGGUAUUGACGGUAUUUAACCAGAAAGCCACGGCUAACUACGUGCCAGCAGCCGCGGUAAUAC